rnacentral:rRNA from 1 species
UACGGAGGAUCCAAGCGUUAUCCGGAAUCAUUGGGUUUAAAGGGUCCGUAGGCGGUUUAAUAAGUCAGUGGUGAAAGCCCAUCGCUCAACGGUGGAACGGCCAUUGAUACUGUUAAACUUGAAUUAUUAGGAAGUAACUAGAAUAUGUAGUGUAGCGGUGAAAUGCUUAGAGAUUACAUGGAAUACCAAUUGCGAAGGCAGCUUACUACACAACGAUUGACGCUGAGGCACGAAAGCGUGGGGAUCAAACAGG